ensembl:lncRNA
ACAUCCGGGCAGCUAGGUCUGUUGAGCAGUCGGAGCACCACGUGAAAGUCAUGAGCGUGAUGGAGUCCAGUGAGGGGACCCCGUGCAGUGAAGGAACGAGUCUGCAGGACCGCAGAGAUGAAUUCCUCAGACAUGACUUGAACGCUGGUACUCAACUAUGACUGAGUUGCUAAAUCAUGGACGUGAUGUGGGAGUCCCGUGAGCCAGUGAGGAGACGCCGUGCCGCGAAGGAACGAGUCUGCAGGACCGCAGAGAUGAAUUCCUCAGACCUGACUUGACAGCUGGGACUCAACUAUGACUGAGUUGCUAAAGAACAGAUUCCAGUCAAAUCUGAGGCCUUGAGCUGCCGUUGAGUCCACUUACGCCAUUGUGCACAGCUUCCAGCUGGGUUCAAUGAGCCGUUUCAUGGUCUUCUGCUGUGUUGAACCGGAGAACUAAAAGUGUCCAUAAGCAGAACUUUGACGCAGGUGAGCAUGCAGUAUUCCAACAGGCUGAUGGCUUAUUUUUUACAGUAAAAAAUUGAUUAUUUUAUUUGUUUGCAGAUUUCAUCAGAGUUGGAGAGUUCAUCUGCUGAAGGAAAACAAAUGUAGCAUUUCUGUGUACAGUUGCUGUUAUUCCGCUUCUAAAUAUAAAAAACAUUCUUGUAAUGGCUUCCCUGGUCUUUCUCACGUUGGGUUUAGUGCAAUGAUGUUAGUUGAUGUGCUGUUGGCUCAAUGUUUUGGUGAGUUCUGCAUUAGACUGUUAAGGCCACUCGCCUUUGACAAUGCAGAGACCAGACGUUUAACUUUCACUUACUCAACAAGAACACUGUACGGCACCGAAGAACUUCAUACAUUACAGCACUGGUGCCGCUCACAUGCGCUGAUGGACACGUUGGUCAGACAACGAGGGACAAGUGGAGGCUCUGCUAGUUAAAAGGAUUUUUGGGCCAAUGUUGGAUUGCGUUCAAAUAACUGUCCUUGCUGUCUUCAUAAAGGUUUACACAUUUUAUAUUUCAAUAUGAUUACGAAGUUGACAAAUUAAACCUUGACCUACAUGUAUAGUAUCCAAUAAAUUCUAGUUUGUAGUAAACUCUACAUUAACAGUAGAGGACCAAUUUAGUUGAGGCUGAUUCUCUCAACGGACGUGCUGCACAUAUGUAACGGAGUGCCACAUUGAGGUACAAAAUAUGGGUUAUGGGCAAGUUAAAAUCUCAGUAAUCCAAAUGUUCCAUUGAAUCUGAUAGUGAUGAGCCAUGCAUGUAUCCUGUUAAGCCAGAGAUGUGGUUUGAAAUGUUUAACAUAAUGCUGAAAUCAAUCUGGUAAUUUUAUUGCACCACCUGACAGCCUUUUUUCCCCCCUUUGGGCUUAUUGUUGCCUACUUGAUCAACCAUUGCUCAAUCCUACAGUUGCAAAGGUUUCUAAUUUAUCCCCCUUUAUAACAGACGAAUAUGAACCG